GGGAAAACCCGGGCGGGGGCGGUCUCUGCUUCUUUCCAGCUGGAGAAGCGCUUUUUGGUUCGGAGUGCGUGUGUGUGUCUGUGUGUCUGUGUGUCUGUGUGUCUGUCUCUGUGUGUGUGUCUGUGGGGGGUUUGUAGGUGUUCCGGCUGGGGCUCCGAAUUUUCGUCUGCAGACUCUACUUUUUCUGAAGACCUACAUGAUUUCUUCCCCUAGAAGAAGUUUGUUAAUACGACAUGUCAACGUUGCUGGUUUCAGACUGCAGCACUUUUUUACAAAACCAGACUGAAAAAAUUUCCUCAAACCUCCACUUAAUGGCACAACUGGCAUAUUCUGAAUCUUCUUUGAAGAAGGAACAGGAGGCUAUGAGAAGGAGAAUCUUUUCCCAGGCUAUGAGUCACACUAAGAUCAUUGUCUUCUUUCAUUCAAGAGAAAUUCAGCACUGGUUUCUGAAAUGGGAACAGAGGAAUCAAAUGUCUGUACGUCUCUCAAGGAGAAGGGGACUAUCCAGUCACUGCUUCACAAAAGACAUGUUGCCAUCCAUAUGUAGAAGCCAGUUGCUGGCCCUGAAGAUUUACUAA
rnacentral:lncRNA from 1 species